AACUAACCCUAGCCUGACUCCACCCAACUUCACAACAAAUAUAUUCCCUUUAAUCAAAACAUUUACCAUAUCAAUAAUAGUAUAGGAGAUAGAAAUUAUAUUCAGCGCUAUAGAGAGCAGUACCGCAAAGGGAAAAAUGAAAGAACCAAACCUAAAGUAUAAAAAAGCAAAGCUAAACUCUUGUACCUUUUGCAUAAUGACUUAACUAGAACAAUUUGACAAGAAGAACUUAAGUCAAGGAACCCGAAACCAGACGAGCUACUCAUAAACAGCUAUUAAGAGCACACUCAUCUAUGUGGCAAAAUAGUGAGAAGAUUUAUAAGUAGAGGUGAAAGGCCUAUCGAGCCUGGUGAUAGCUGGUUAUCCAGAAAAGAAUUUUAGUUCAACUUUAAAUUAACCUAAAGUGAUCUAUUAAACCUCAUGUUAAUUUAAAUGUUAUUCUAAAGAGGGACAGCUCUUUAGACCAGGCUACAACCUUUAGUAUAGAGUAAACAAUACCAAUACCAUAGUUGGCCUAAAAGCAGCCACCAAUUAAGAAAGCGUUCAAGCUCAACAUAUAAUAAUUACUUAAUUCAACUAAUAUAUAUAUAGACCUCUUACUAACCAACUGGAUUAAUCUAUUAUUUUAUAGAAGCAACACUGUUAAUAUGAGUAACAAGAAUUUUAAUUCUCCUAGCAUAAGCUUAUACCAGACCGGAUGCCCACUGGUAAUUAACAACCAGAUAAAGAUACACAUUCUACAAGCCCUUUAUCCUAAAUAACUGUUAACCCAACACAGGCAUGCAUUAAGGAAAGAUCUAAAAAAGUAAAAGGAACUUGGCAAAACUAAACCCCGCCUGUUUACCAAAAACAUCACCUCCAGUCUAUUAAAUAUUGGAGGCACCGCCUGCCCAGUGACACAUGUUCAACGGCCGCGGUAUCCUGACCGUGCAAAGGUAGCAUAAUCACUUGUUCUUUAAUUAAGGACUUGAAUGAAUGGCUACACGAGGGUUCAACUGUCUCUUACUUUUAAUCAGUGAAAUUGACCUUCCCGUGAAGAGGCGGGAAUAAAUCAAUAAGACGAGAAGACCCUAUGGAGCUUAAAUAAUAUAAUCCAAAUAAAUAUAAUUAAAUCUAACAAAGACAUAAAAUAAUAAUUAUAUAUGGGUUAGAAAUUUCGGUUGGGGUGACCUCGGAGCAUAACAUAACCUCCGAACAAUUUUAACUUAGACCUAACCAGUCAAAGUAUAUAAAUAGUACAUUAAUUGACCCAAACUAAUUUGAUCAAUGGAACAAGUUACCCUAGGGAUAACAGCGCAAUCCUAUUAUAGAGUCCAUAUCGACGAUAGGGUUUACGACCUCGAUGUUGGAUCAAGACACCCUAAUGGUGCAGCCGCUAUUAACGGUCCGUUUGUUCAACGGUUAAAGUCUUACGUGAUCUGAGUUCAGACCGGAGUAAUCCAGGUCGGUUUCUAUCUAUUUAAUUUUUCUCCUAGUACGAAAGGACAAGAGAAUAAAGGACCAACUCAAAUUUAGUGCCCUAAACAUAAUAGAUGUAACAAACUCAAUCUAAUAUGCUAAUUAAUAUAUUACCCAAGAUAAGGGUUG
rnacentral:rRNA from 1 species